rnacentral:lncRNA from 1 species
CAGAAUUCAACCUUUGCUCAUAGUUCAAUAGAGUCGGAUAAACAACAAUUCAGAAAGACUUGCACCAUCUAACUGACCCUAAAAAAAAUUCGAACCUCAUAUAUUCCAUUAAUUCUUGUCUAAUAAAAAAUAACUCACAUCUAACUGACCCUAAGAAGCUAUACAGCUUAGAUAACCUUAAAAUGGAUCUCUGUCAAUGCAAUCAUACAACACCAGAAAUAUGUUGAACACAAGUAAAACUGGAUAUCUUUUGCCACUACUCACUAGGAGUUCAAAACAUCAUCCUGAAAAGACAAAGCAAAUGAAAAUAAUUAAUUCAAUUAUAUCAAGAACAGGCAAAUUACAUAGGUAGAAUAUGACUUUACUUACUCAAGAUAUAUUAUUACUUUGAAUGCAAGCUCCAUGCCAAGGAAAAAAAGUAAUAUUUAAUAUUCUUGUGGCUACAAUCAAUUUAAAACCCAUAUCAGAUAUCACAACAAGAAGUAAAUCACAUGAAUUUUUUCAAACCCAUAACAAAUCUGGAGAUGUAAUCUCAACUUUUAGCAGAAAUCUUCAAAUUAAUUUUAAAAAAACUCAUGUCAGAUACCAGAACAACACAACAAUAAUAAUUCACAUGAUUUUUUCCAAACCCAUAUUAAAUAUGGAGAUUAAUCUCAACUCAUAUUUUAAAAAACUUAGAAAUCUACAAACCCAGAUCGAAAAACCCUCGUACAUCUCCAAAUCGACCACCACAACCCAGAUUUCGGGAGGAAAAAAAACCACGACAAUGGAUACCUUAUAGAAAUAGAAAUCUCGCAAGCUCAGUUGGAAAUGGUGGGUCUUCUCUUAGGCUUGCAAGAGGCUCUUCC